AGCUGCAGAACUGAGGUGACUUGUCCCUGCUCACAUGCAAAGCUGAAGGCAGAGCCGGGGACGGGAUGCAGAUCUCCAGCAUGCCUAGUGCGCUGUUAGCCCAUGAAACUCCUCAGCACAACAAUUUGAUGAGGCCAUGAUCUUGGAGAGAUACCAAAAGAGAUGGGCUAUUUCAGAUGGAUCACAAGGAAAGCCUGAAUUAUAAAGAAAACGACUUCAUCUGCUGCAUCAAUAUCGCUUUGCAGAGGACAAGGCUGUUGGGUGCGACGUGCCGAGUCACGUCGAAGAAUACCUACCCCUUCUGCUGCCCUGGCUGGCCCUUUGGUGUAGGUAUUGCCUAGCGGCAGUGCCUCCUGCUGAUGCUGCUGGGACACUACCCUUAGCCAAGCUGUGGACAUGGGAGCAGUGCUCUGCUGUGCCAGGCCCUGGACAAACACAA